UACGGAGGGUGCAAGCGUUGUUCGGAUUUAUUGGGCGUAAAGGGCGUGUAGGCGGUCCGUUAAGUCUGAUGUGAAAGCCCCGGGCUCAACCUGGGAAGUGCAUUGGAAACUGGCGGACUUGAGUACGGGAGAGGGCAGUGGAAUUCCUAGUGUAGGAGUGAAAUCCGUAGAUAUUAGGAGGAACACCGGUGGCGAAGGCGGCUGCCUGGACCGAUACUGACGCUGAGACGCGAAAGCGUGGGGAG
rnacentral:rRNA from 1 species